rnacentral:rRNA from 1 species
CUACGGGGUGCAGCAGUGAGGAAUUUUGCGCAAUGGGGGAAACCCUGACGCAGCAACGCCGCGUGAGCGAAGAAGGCCUUCGGGUCGUAAAGCUCUGUCAAGUGGGAAAAAACGCUUAAGAUUAAUAGUCUGCGGAAUUGAUGGUACCACUGGAGGAAGCACCGGCUAACUCCGUGCCAGCAGCCGCGGUAAUACGGAGGGUGCAAGCGUUGUUCGGAAUGACUGGGCGUAAAGCGCGUGCAGGCGGUUUGGCAAGUCAGAUGUGAAAGCCCUGGGCUUAACCCAGGAAGUGCAUUUGAAACUGCCUGUCUUGAGUAUGGGAGAGGGGAGUGGAAUUCCCAGUGUAGAGGUGAAAUUCGUAGAUAUUGGGAGGAACACCCGUGGCGAAGGCGACUCUCUGGACCAAUACUGACGCUGAGACGCGAAAGCGUGGGGAGCAAACAGGAUUAGAUACCCUUGUAGUC